GCGCGGCGGCGCCGCUGGUCUUCGGCCGCGUAUUCCGGCCGUUUGGCCGGGAUUUUGGCUUCGAUUUGGCCAUAGGAGGAAUCAGCGUGAAAAAACGAGUUGGGGGUAUGAAAUUUACCUCGAUCGGCGGUCGGAAAUUUCCCCGGUGCGGCGGCAGGUGGCGGCGGUCGGCCUCUGGUUCGUCUUCUCCGGCGAGCGGCAGGCGGCUAGGGUUUGUGGUCUGGUGUGGGGGUUCUAUUUAUAACCCCUUGCCCUUUGAUCUCAGCCGUCCAUUUUGUUUUAAU
rnacentral:lncRNA from 1 species